GGCGGUGGAGGCUGAGGCGGCGGCCGAGGCGGCGACGGAGGAAACAGAAGAUGGCAGAUUUUUUGAAAGGACUGCCUGUCUACAACAAAAGCAAUUUUAGUCGAUUUCACGCGGACUCCGUGUGCAAAGCCUCGAACCGACGGCCCUCAGUCUACCUGCCUACCCGCGAGUACCCGUCUGAACAGAUCAUCGUGACAGAAAAGACAAACAUCCUCCUGCGCUACCUGCAUCAGCAAUGGGACAAAAA
rnacentral:misc_RNA from 1 species